UUUAAUUUUCGUGACAUUGGUAAAACUUGCCUACUAUACAUUUCUUGGUUCCAGAAUUUUUCCAUGUUCCAGUUUGCCAAAGAAUUUGCUCAAGGUUUUCAAGCUAUUUCCCUGAUUUGUUCUCAGCUGCUGCAAAGACUUGAAAUUGGCCAAAGUUUCUCUCAAGCCAUUGAAUGCAAAGGUACAUAAAGAUCUGAAGUAGGAGAAAAUAUCAGAAGCAGAAGUAAUUAGAAAUUUGAAUAUAGAAGCCGACAACAAUCAACAACUCAAUGCUGCAACAAUUGAAUAGCUUACAAUCCCAUUUGCAUACAU